AUUGAACGCUGGCGGUAGGCCUAACACAUGCAAGUCGAGCGGCUGCACGGGGAGUGCUCCUGGAUUCGGCGGCCGACGGGUGAGUGAUGCCUAGUAAUCUGCCGGGUAGUGGGGGAUUACGUGCGGACACGGGUGAGCUUACCGAUAUGUCGUGUGCGACAAAGUGGUGUAUGUGCGGACCUUACGCAGCCGGAUGUGUCUAGGUGGGAUUAGUCAGAUGGUGGGGUAAAGGGCCACCAAGGCGACGAUCCGUAACUGGUCUGAGAGGAUGAUCAGACACACUGGAACUGAGACACGGUCCAGACUCCUACGGGAGGCAGCAGUGGGGAAUAUUGGACAAUGGGCGAAAGCCUGAUCCAGCCAUUCCGCGUGGGUGAAGAAGGUCUUCGGAUUGUAAAGCACUUUUAUUCGGGAAGAAAGGCAGUAAGUUAAUACCCUGCUGUUGUGACGGUACCCACAGAAUAAGCACCGGCUAACUUCGUG
rnacentral:rRNA from 1 species